rnacentral:rRNA from 1 species
CGGACGGGUGAGUAAUGUCUGGGAAACUGCCCGAUGGAGGGGGAUAACUACUGGAAACGGUAGCUAAUACCGCAUAAUGUCUACGGACCAAAGCGGGGGACCUCCGGGCCUCGCGCCAUCAGAUGAACCCAUAUGGGAUUAGCUAGUAGGUGGGGUAACGGCUCACCUAGGCGACGAUCCCUAGCUGGUCUGAGAGGAUGACCAGCCACACUGGAACUGAGACACGGGCCAG